rnacentral:rRNA from 1 species
AGCAUGCUCUCGCACGGGUUUAGACCCGUGGCGGAAAGCUCAGUAACACGUGGCCAAACUACCCUGUGCGACGACGAUACUCUCGGGAAACUGAGGUUAAUCCUCGAUACAGCUCUCAGGCUGGAAUGCACAGAGCGGGAAACGUUCCGGCGCCACAGGAUGUGGCUGCGGCCGAUUAGGUAGACGGUGAGGUAACGGCCCACCGUGCCAGUAAUCGGUACGGGUGAUGAGAGUCAGAACCACGGAGACGGUAUCUGAGACAAGAUACCGGGCCCUACGGGGCGCAGCAGGCGCGAAACCUUUACACUGCACGACAGUGCGAUAGGGGGACUCCGAGUGCGAGGGCAUAUAGUCCUCGCUUUUCUGGACCGUAAGGAGGUCCAGGAACAAGUGCUGGGCAAGACCGGUGCCAGCACGCCGCGGUAAUACCGGCAGCACAAGUGAUGGCCGCUAUUAUUGGGCCUAAAGCGUCCGUAGCCGGCCAGCCAAGUCCGUUGGGAAAUCCACGCGCUUAACACGUGGGCGUCCGGCGGAAACUGUCUGGCUUGGGGCCGGAAGACCCAAGGGGUACGUCCGGGGUAGGAGUGAAAUCCCGUAAUCCUGGACGGACCGCCGAUGGCGAAAGCACCUUGGGAAGACGGACCCGACGGUGAGGGACGAAAGCCAGGGUCUCGAACCGGAUUAGAUACCCGGGUAGUCCUGGGCG